UGAGAGGUUUUUUUUUUUUUUAAAACCACCCAAAUCUAAAAAAAAAAAGUUGU
rfam:Oryzias latipes DNA, chromosome3, strain: Hd-rR.